rnacentral:tRNA from 1 species
GGGGUUGUGGCUCAGUGGUAGAGCGCUUGCCUCACAUGUGUGAGGCCCUGGGUUCAAUCCUCAGCGCCA